rnacentral:rRNA from 1 species
GACGAACGCUGGCGGCGUGCCUAAUACAUGCAAGUUGAGCGCUGAAGGUUGGUACUUGUACCGACUGGAUGAGCAGCGAACGGGUGAGUAACGCGUGGGGAAUCUGCCUUUGAGCGGGGGACAACAUUUGGAAACGAAUGCUAAUACCGCAUAAAAACUUUAAACACAAGUUUUAAGUUUGAAAGAUGCAAUUGCAUCACUCAAAGAUGAUCCCGCGUUGUAUUAGCUAGUUGGUGAGGUAAAGGCUCACCAAGGCGAGGAUACAUAGCCGACCUGAGAGGGUGAUCGGCCACAUUGGGACUGAGACACGGCCCAAACUCCUACGGGAGGCAGCAGUAGGGAAUCUUCGGCAAUGGACGAAAGUCUGACCGAGCAACGCCGCGUGAGUGAAGAAGGUUUUCGGAUCGUAAAACUCUGUUGGCAGAGAAGAACGUUGGUGAGAGUGGAAAGCUCAUCAAGUGACGGUAACUACCCAGAAAGGGACGGCUAACUACGUG